rnacentral:rRNA from 1 species
UGCUACUCGCUGAACGUACGCGGCGGACGGGUGAGUAAUGCAUAGGAAUCUGCCCGAUAGUGGGGGAUAACCUGGGGAAACCCAGGCUAAUACCGCAUACGUCCUACGGGAGAAAGGGGGCUUCGGCUCCCGCUAUUGGAUGAGCCUAUGUCGGAUUAGCUAGUUGGUGAGGUAAUGGCUCACCAAGGCAACGAUCCGUAGCUGGUCUGAGAGGAUGAUCAGCCACAUCGGGACUGAGACACGGCCCGAACUCCUACGGGAGGCAGCAGUGGGGAAUAUUGGACAAUGGGCGAAAGCCUGAUCCAGCCAUGCCGCGUGUGUGAAGAAGGCCUUCGGGUUGUAAAGCACUUUCAGCGAGGAAGAACGCCUAGUGGUUAAUACCCAUUAGGAAAGACAUCACUCGCAGAAGAAGCACCGGCUAACUCCGUGCCAGCAGCCGCGGUAAUACGGAGGGUGCAAGCGUUAAUCGGAAUUACUGGGCGUAAAGCGCGCGUAGGUGGCUUGAUAAUCCGGUUGUGAUAGCCCCGGGCUCAUCCUGGGAACGGCAUCCGGAACUGUCAAGCUAGAGUGCAGGAGAGGAAGGUAGAAUUCCCCGGUGUAGCGGUGAAAUGCGUAGAGAUCGGGAGGAAUACCAGUGGCGAAGGCGGCCUUCUGGACUGACACUGACACUGAGGUGCGAAAGCGUGGGUAGCAAACAGGAUUAGAUACCCUGGUAGUCCACGCCGUAAACGAUGUCGACCAGCCGUUGGGUGCCUAGCGCACUUUGUGGCGAAGUUAACGCGAUAAGUCGACCGCCUGGGGAGUACGGCCGCAAGGUUAAAACUCAAAUGAAUUGACGGGGGCCCGCACAAGCGGUGGAGCAUGUGGUUUAAUUCGAUGCAACGCGAAGAACCUUACCUACUCUUGACAUCCUGCGAACUUGUGAGAGAUCACUUGGUGCCUUCGGGAACGCAGAGACAGGUGCUGCAUGGCUGUCGUCAGCUCGUGUUGUGAAAUGUUGGGUUAAGUCCCGUAACGAGCGCAACCCUUGUCCUUAUUUGCCAGCGGGUAAUGCCGGGAACUCUAAGGAGACUGCCGGUGACAAACCGGAGGAAGGUGGGGACGACGUCAAGUCAUCAUGGCCCUUACGAGUAGGGCUACACACGUGCUACAAUGGCCGGUACAAAGGGUUGCGAGCUCGCGAGAGUCAGCUAAUCCCGAAAAGCCGGUCUCAGUCCGGAUCGGAGUCUGCAACUCGACUCCGUGAAGUCGGAAUCGCUAG